UCCCUCCGGCACUGUGCGCUCUCCUCCUCUGGCUGCGGGCAGCUCCGGGAUUCGCAACACGGGAUGCUGCUGUAUGCGAAUCCUGGGCAUCUUCUCACCUUCCUCAUCUGUCGGCUUCUCUGCCUAUGCACAUGCCGGGUGCGCACGUUCCCGUCCCCUAGGGCGCACGAGCACUGGCACUCUGCAUCUUAAAGGGCCAGUGCGCCCUUGAUUGGUCUGCUGCUGCCGGACCUUAUGAAUUGCUGCACCUUCCUUUUCCAGCUGCCAGAUCUUUGUGAGCCUCUGAGAAAGCGUUUCCUGUGUAUAGCCUACUGUGUUCCAGACCUCCUUGCUAGUGAACUGACUUUGCUCCUUUGCCGCCUGCCUACUGAGCUUUGCUUUGUCCUGACUACGCCUAUUAUCUUCUGUGCUGAGUUACAUUUGGGCAACCUGUGUGGACGGAUCGUGCCAGGGGUUGCGACCUGGGUGCCGCCUGCUGCAGCAAGACCUUCCCGCUUUGCGGUGGGUUCUGGUGAAAACCAGCGGCACCUUAGACUCCGCUCCCUGGUACUGUUCAAUCCUUAUCCACACAGGUCAGCGGAUCCACUACUCUCAGACGUUGAUAGUAACAUACUGCCUCCCUGCUUGUGCUUCAUGUCCUUAUGAAGCAAGAUUGAAGUGUGAACACAGAAGAUGAUCUGCUAUACUGGACCGGGUGUGAUUUUUAUAUUGCCCACACCUGUUACUUGCCCAAGUUACAUGAUGGGAGAAGUUCUUCACUCACCAGUACAUUCACCUUAUCGGCACUUAACAUAUUUACUGAAUAAAGUAUUACAUUUA